AAGACCUUACUUGAACAUGAUCUGUUCUAUAGGUUGUACGUCUUAGUCUACGUAGAUUCCUAUAUAGACAAGCACACAAAUCCGGAAGAUGAACUAUGGCUCUCGGGGUAGAGCGCGAAUACUGUGAUGGUUGAGAGUUCGCUCCCACUCAUCUCUCAAUGAACGUCCUGUCUGUGACAUUUCCAGUUCCACACAGUGAAGGCCUCAGAGCGUUCUGACGGAUU
rfam:Picea glauca, whole genome shotgun sequence.